rnacentral:rRNA from 1 species
CCCGCUGAACUUAAGCAUAUCAAUAAGCGGAGGAAAAGAAACUAACAAGGAUUCCCCUAGUAACUGCGAGUGAAGCGGGAAGAGCUCAAAUUUGAAAUCUGGCGGUCCCUUGGGCUGUCCGAGUUGUAAUCUAGAGAAGUGCUACCUGUGCUGGACCGUGUACAAGUCUCCUGGAAUGGAGCAUCACAGAGGGUGAGAAUCCCGUCUUUGACACGGACUGCCAUGUGCGAUAUUGGUGCGCUCUCGAAGAGUCGAGUUGUUUGGGAAUGCAGCUCAAAACGGGUGGUAAAUGCCAUCUAAAGCUAAAUAUUGGCGAGAGACCGAUAGCGAACAAGUACCGUGAGGGAAAGAUGAAAAGCACUUUGAAAAGAGAGUCAAACAGUACGUGAAAUUGCUGAAAGGGAAACGCUUGAAGUCAGUCGCGCCCCCUGGAAUUCAGCCCUGCUUUUGUAGGGUGUACUUUCCAGGGGGCGGGCCAACAUCAGUUUUGACCGGCAGAUAAAGGCUGGGGGAAUGUGGCUCCUUCGGGAGUGUUAUAGCCCCUGGUCACAUAUGCCGGUUGGGACUGAGGAACGCAGCGCGCCCUUGUGGCAGGCCUUCGGGCACUUUCGCGCUUAGGAUGUUGGCAUAAUGGCUUUAAGCGACCCGUCUUGAAACACGG